rnacentral:rRNA from 1 species
UACGUAGGGGGGCUAGCGUUGUCCGGAAUCAUUGGGCGUAAAGCGCGUGUAGGCGGUCCGGUAAGUCCGCUGUGAAAGUCGGGGGGCUCAACCCUCGAAUGCCGGUGGAUACUGUCGGGCUAGAGUGCGGAAGAGGCGAGUGGAAUUCCUGGUGUAGCGGUGAAAUGCGCAGAUAUCAGGAGGAACACCAAUGGCGAAGGCAGCUCGCUGGGACGGUACUGACGCUGAGACGCGAAAGCGUGGGGAGCAAACAGG